rnacentral:rRNA from 1 species
GGGUUGUGAGGUUAAGCGACUAAGCGUACACGGUGGAUGCCCUGGCAGUCAGAGGCGAUGAAGGGCGUGCUAAUCUGCGAUAAGCGCCGGUAAGGUGAUAUGAACCGUUAUAACCGGCGAUACCCGAAUGGGGAAACCCAGUGUGACUCGUCACACUAUCAUUAACUGAAUCCAUAGGUUAAUGAGGCGAACCGGGGGAACUGAAACAUCUAAGUACCCCGAGGAAAAGAAAUCAACCGAGAUUCCCCCAGUAGCGGCGAGCGAACGGGGAGGAGCCCAGAGCCUGAAUCAGCAUGUGUGUUAGUGGAAGCGUCUGGAAAGGCGCGCGAUACAGGGUGACAGCCCCGUACACAAAAGCGUAUGUGCUGUGAGCUCGAUGAGUAGGGCGGGACACGUGGUAUCCUGUCUGAAUAUGGGGGGACCAUCCUCCAAGGCUAAAUACUCCUGACUGACCGAUAGUGAACCAGUACCGUGAGGGAAAGGCGAAAAGAACCCCGGCGAGGGGAGUGAAAAAGAACCUGAAACCGUGUACGUACAAGCAGUGGGAGCCCCACCACUAAGCCAGUGGUGAACUCCACAUACGCAUCCUUUGCUGAGGAUACGGUUAACGGAGCGAAAGCGACGUUCAACCGCAAAAGAAGCAGAGGGGGCUUAGUGGUGGGGUGACUGCGUACCUUUUGUAUAAUGGGUCAGCGACUUAUAUUCUGUAGCAAGGUUAACCGAAUAGGGGAGCCGGAGGGAAACCGAGUCUUAACCGGGCGUUAAGUUGCAGGGUAUAGACCCGAAACCCGGUGAUCUAGCCAUGGGCAGGUUGAAGGUUGGGUAACACUAACUGGAGGACCGAACCGACUAAUGUUGAAAAAUUAGCGGAUGACCUGUGGCUGGGGGUGAAAGGCCAAUCAAACCGGGAGAUAGCUGGUUCUCCCCGAAAGCUAUUUAGGUAGCGCCUCGUGAAUUCAUCUCCGGGGGUAGAGCACUGUUUCGGCUAGGGGGCCAUCCCGGCUUACCAACCCGAUGCAAACUGCGAAUACCGGAGAAUGUUAUCACGGGAGACACACGGCGGGUGCUAACGUCCGUCGUGAAGAGGGAAACAACCCAGACCGCCAGCUAAGGUCCCAAAGUCAUGGUUAAGUGGGAAACGAUGUGGGAAGGCCCAGACAGCCAGGAUGUUGGCUUAGAAGCAGCCAUCAUUUAAAGAAAGCGUAAUAGCUCACUGGUCGAGUCGGCCUGCGCGGAAGAUGUAACGGGGCUAAACCAUGCACCGAAGCUGCGGCAGCGACGCUUAUGCGU